UACGGGGGGAGCAAGCGUUGUUCGGAUUUACUGGGCGUAAAGGGCGCGUAGGCGGUCGUGACAAGUCACUUGUGAAAUCUCCGGGCUUAACUCGGAACGGUCAAGUGAUACUGUCGGACUAGAGUACAGAAGGGGCAACUGGAAUUCUCGGUGUAGCGGUGAAAUGCGUAGAUAUCGAGAGGAACACCUGCGGCGAAGGCGGGUUGCUGGGCUGACACUGACGCUGAUGCGCGAAAGCCAGGGGAGCGAACGGG
rnacentral:rRNA from 1 species